rnacentral:rRNA from 1 species
GACGAACGCUGGCGGCGUGCUUAACACAUGCAAGUCGAACGGUGAAGGGGAGCUUGCUCCCCGGAUCAGUGGCGAACGGGUGAGUAACACGUGGGCAACCUGCCCCAGACUUCGGGAUAACGCUUCGAAAGAGGUGCUAAUACCGGAUACGAACUCCUUGGGCAUCCUGGGAGUUGGAAAGUUUUUCGGUCUGGGAUGGGCCCGCGGCCUAUCAGCUUGUUGGUGAGGUAACGGCUCACCAAGGCGACGACGGGUAGCCGGCCUGAGAGGGUGAACGGCCACACGGGAACUGAGACACGGUCCAGGCUCCUACGGGAGGCAGCAGUGGGGAAUUUUGCGCAAUGGGCGAAAGCCGGACGCAGCGACGCCGCGUGGAGGAAGACGGCCUUCGGGUUGUAAACUCCUGUCAGAGGUGAAGAAUGCCCGCAAGGGCUUGACGGUAACCUCAGAGGAAGCCCCGGCUAACUACGUGCCAGCAGCCGCAGUAAGAC